UUAACACAUGCAAGUCGAACGGUAAGGCCCUUCGGGGGUACACGAGUGGCGAACGGGUGAGUAACACGUGGGUAAUCUGCCCUGCACUUCGGGAUAAGCCUGGGAAACUGGGUCUAAUACCGGAUAUGAACUCCUGCCGCAUGGUGGGGGUUGGAAAGUUUUUCGGUGCAGGAUGAGCCCGCGGCCUAUCAGCUUGUUGGUGGGGUAAUGGCCUACCAAGGCGACGACGGGUAGCCGGCCUGAGAGGGUGAUCGGCCACACUGGGACUGAGACACGGCCCAGACUCCUACGGGAGGCAGCAGUGGGGAAUAUUGCACAAUGGGCGAAAGCCUGAUGCAGCGACGCCGCGUGGGGGAUGACGGUCUUCGGAUUGUAAACCCCUUUCAGUAGGGACGAAGCGCAAGUGACGGUACCUGCAGAAGAAGCACCGGCUAACUACGUGCCAGCAGCCGCGGUAAUACGUAGGGUGCGAGCGUUGUCCGGAAUUACUGGGCGUAAAGAGCUCGUAGGCGGUUUGUCACGUCGUCUGUGAAAUCCCUCGGCUUAACCGGGGGCGUGCAGGCGAUACGGGCAGACUUGAGUACUACAGGGGAGACUGGAAUUCCUGGUGUAGCGGUGAAAUGCGCAGAUAUCAGGAGGAACACCGGUGGCGAAGGCGGGUCUCUGGGUAGUAACUGACGCUGAGGAGCGAAAGCAUGGGUAGCGAACAGGAUUAGAUACCCUGGUAGUCCAUGCCGUAAACGGUGGGCGCUAGGUGUGGGGUCCUUCCACGGACUCCGUGCCGUAGCUAACGCAUUA
rnacentral:rRNA from 1 species